rnacentral:lncRNA from 1 species
AUAACCACUAAUGUUUUCUUGCAUAGACUAGGCUCGGCAUUGUUCACACCAGGAACUGAUAAACAGCUCUGCAAAGGGCUAGAUGUUAAUAUUUUAAUCUUUAAGUACUACAAAGUCUCUGAUAACUAUCUGAGGUGUUGCUUUAGCAUAAAAGCAGCUUCAGGCAACUCGGGAAAAAUAUGAGUGUGUCUGUGAUCAAAUAAAACUUUAUUUAUAAAGCUAGACCACAGAUCCUAUAAGGCCAAUUUAUUGUAAUUUCCUGACUCUAAUCUAGGUCAGUACAGUAAAGCCUCAUAAUGACUGAAGUAGGUAUCCUUGCCUCAUUUUACUGAUGGGAAGACAUUUGGAGACCAGCGUGCCUCUGUCUCCCCAAGUGCACAGCUAUGGGAUUAUAACAGAUAUAGGGUCACAUAGAAGCAAUGUGACUCUAAAACUGGUGAUUUAGCCUCAACAAUGAUUAUAGAUUGAGGUGAGCUGUAACUUGUGAGCAAGUGUGAUAUGUCCCCUGACUCUCUGACAGGAAAUAAAAACUUGGCUGCCUUUGCUUUCCUCCAAGAUAGAGUGAUGGGGCCAAGAUCUGAAUAUGACUAGUCUUAGAGACGUGGUCAGGAGCUAGGACUGCCUUAAGGCUUGUUAAGGGUCCAGAAGACUAGAAGCCAGAAGUGUCUGGGCUGAGGGCUAGGAUGUCUCAGCUCUCCUAACCCUACCUCCUAAGGGUAAAAAGGCAAGUAUGGUUAUGAUUUCCUGGCCAGAGUGGAGAACGGCAUGGAGAGUCGCUGAGCAAACCUGUCUUACCAUAGCAACAUCCUGCCGGAGCUCAUGGGGCACAGAACAGGCCAGCUGGAGAGCUGAGGGAUAGUGUAAAGAAAGAGGUAGCUACCGGGAUCUGGAAGGAGGCAAAUGUGGCUGGACCUGAGGCUGGUGGAGGCUGGAGGACACCACAUCCUGAGUUGCCAUUGGAGACAAAGUCUGAUGUAGUCCUGCAUGCUGGGCUCCACAGGCUGGGGCUGCUUUUCCACAGGGAUGAAUUUGAUUCUGUGGGGGAUGGUGUGAAGCAGGCGUUUGAGGUGGAGAUGUGGCUGUGCAGGCGCAUGGGAGUUCUGUUUGUCAGCGUUACUUCUGGGACUCGCCUUACUGGGCUAGUAAGGCAGGUCUCAGCCCCAGAAAGUGUCCGUUUGCCUUUCUCAGUUACUUGCAUAGAGCUGGUUGCAAGAAAAUGUGUUACUUUUCCACUUUGUAGUUAAGCAGCAGGCCUUCCCCUCUUUAUCCUUCCACGGCUUUAGAGUUUUCUCCUCUGGGUUAUAUGUGCUGUGCUUUGCUUCCCCUCAACUUGCUUCUUUAUUUACUCCUGUUUGUUUCUAUCUCCAUGAGAAACAGCAGGCAAGGCAGACUUGGCCGGUUAAUGCCCUCUGCGUUGGAUAACAGGUUAUGGUUCUUCUGGGUGUCUGUUGGAACACAUGGCUGAAAUGUGUUGUUCAAACCUGAUUAUCCUUACCAUGAGAGGCCCAGCUAAGGAUAAGCUGGGGAUAUUAUUUUAAAGUGUCACAACUGGGCCUCAUUAACCUAUGCCUCUGCCUCCAUAAGAAAUACAUACUUGCUUUCUGCCAUGAUUAUUGGCUCAGAGCUCCUAAGGCCCUCGCAAUAUCCUAAAGAUGUCAGGGACAUUUGUACUCCACUGUUUGUUUGUUUGUUUGUUUGUUUGUUUGUUUUGGCCCUGUUUCUGGUACAGAGCUCUCAAAACCCUUGGAAUUUCCUGGAUAACAGGAUUCAUUUUUUUUUUUUUAAUUGUGUGUGUGUGUGUGUGCACAUGCGCAUGUACAAAGAUCAGAAAAUAACUUGUUCCAGUUCGUUCUCUCCUUCUACCAUGUGAGACCCAAGGGUCCAACUCAGGUCAUCAGACUUGGUGGCAGCUUGAGGAACCAUCACUCUAGCCUGCAUCUUUUGUUUUAAUGAAGUGAUUUUUGAUAGACUCAAGUUGGUUAUGAGAGAGAGAGAGAGAGAGAGAGAGAGAGAUUGUGUUAUCACUUUAUGCCCAUGUCUCGAAGUCACCAGUUGCCAUAAACAUUCUUGGGGAGGUUUGGCCUGGACAUACAUCUAGACACUGGAAGGCAGCACACUCCAGGGCUUAUUUU